AAAUUGAAGAGUUUGAUCAUGGCUCAGAUUGAACGCUGGCGGCAGGCCUAACACAUGCAAGUCGAACGGUAACAGGAAACAGCUUGCUGUUUCGCUGACGAGUGGCGGACGGGUGAGUAAUGUCUGGGAAACUGCCUGAUGGAGGGGGAUAACUACUGGAAACGGUAGCUAAUACCGCAUAACGUCGCAAGACCAAAGAGGGGGACCUUCGGGCCUCUUGCCAUCGGAUGUGCCCAGAUGGGAUUAGCUAGUAGGUGGGGUAACGGCUCACCUAGGCGACGAUCCCUAGCUGGUCUGAGAGGAUGACCAGCCACACUGGAACUGAGACACGGUCCAGACUCCUACGGGAGGCAGCAGUGGGGAAUAUUGCACAAUGGGCGCAAGCCUGAUGCAGCCAUGCCGCGUGUAUGAAGAAGGCCUUCGGGUUGUAAAGUACUUUCAGCGGGGAGGAAGGGAGUAAAGUUAAUA
rnacentral:rRNA from 1 species